rnacentral:sRNA from 1 species
CGAUUCGAGCGCAGCGAGAAAGCGUUGCCGCAGGCAACGACCCGAAGGGUGAGGAGCGGAGCGACGAAUAAUCCUUCCCCCACCACCA